CAUAGGUUAAUGAGGCGAACCGGGGGAACUGAAACAUCUAAGUACCCCGAGGAAAAGAAAUCAACCGAGAUUCCCCCAGUAGCGGCGAGCGAACGGGGAGGAGCCCAGAGCCUGAAUCAGUGUGUGUGUUAGUGGAAGCGUCUGGAAAGGCGCGCGAUACAGGGUGACAGCCCCGUACACAAAAAUGCACAUGCUGUGAGCUCGAUGAGUAGGGCGGGACACGUGGUAUCCUGUCUGAAUAUGGGGGGACCAUCCUCCAAGGCUAAAUACUCCUGACUGACCGAUAGUGAACCAGUACCGUGAGGGAAAGGCGAAAAGAACCCCGGCGAGGGGAGUGAAAAAGAACCUGAAACCGUGUACGUACAAGCAGUGGGAGCCUCUUAAUGGGGUGACUGCGUACCUUUUGUAUAAUGGGUCAGCGACUUAUAUUCUGUAGCAAGGUUAACCGAAUAGGGGAGCCGAAGGGAAACCGAGUCUUAACUGGGCGUUAAGUUGCAGGGUAUAGACCCGAAACCCGGUGAUCUAGCCAUGGGCAGGUUGAAGGUUGGGUAACACUAACUGGAGGACCGAACCGACUAAUGUUGAAAAAUUAGCGGAUGACUUGUGGCUGGGGGUGAAAGGCCAAUCAAACCGGGAGAUAGCUGGUUCUCCCCGAAAGCUAUUUAGGUAGCGCCUCGUGAAUUCAUCUCCGGGGGUAGAGCACUGUUUCGGCAAGGGGGUCAUCCCGACUUACCAACCCGAUGCAAACUGCGAAUACCGGAGAAUGUUAUCACGGGAGACACACGGCGGGUGCUAACGUCCGUCGUGAAGAGGGAAACAACCCAGACCGCCAGCUAAGGUCCCAAAGUCAUGGUUAAGUGGGAAACG
rnacentral:rRNA from 1 species